ACCGACUCAGGUGGGCGGGGUGAAUAUCCCAAGGCGCGUGAGAGAACCCUGGUUAAGGAACUCGGCAAAAUGACACCGUAACUUCGGGAGAAGGUGUGCCGGUUGGCGUGAACGAGCAAGCCUCGGGAGCGUUGGCUGGUUGCAGAGAAACGGGGGUUGUGACUGUUUACUAAAAACACAGGACUCUGCGAACUCGAAAGAGGACGUAUAGGGUCUGAUGCCUGCCCGGUGCUGGAAGGUUAAGGGGACGAGUCAGCGCAAGCGAAGCUCCGAACCGAAGCCCCAGUAAACGGCGGCCGUAACUAUAACGGUCCUAAGGUAGCGGAAAUUCCUUGUCGGGUAAGUUCCGACCUGCACGAAUGGUGUAACGAUCUGGACACUGUCUCAGCCAAUGAGC
rnacentral:rRNA from 1 species